rnacentral:rRNA from 1 species
GACGAACGCUGGCGGCGUGCUUAACACAUGCAAGUCGAACGGUGAAGCGCCUUCCUUUUUGGUGGGUGUGGAUGAGUGGCGAACGGGUGAGUAACACGUGAGUAACCUGCCCCCUUCUUCUGGAUAACCGCAUGAAAGUGUGGCUAAUACGGGAUAUUCUGAGUCUGUCGCAUGAUGGGUCUGGGAAAGAUAUUGUUUCGGUGGGGGAUGGGCUCGCGGCCUAUCAGCUUGUUGGUGGGGUGAUGGCCUACCAAGGCGGUGACGGGUAGCCGGCCUGAGAGGGUGGACGGUCACACUGGGACUGAGACACGGCCCAGACUCCUACGGGAGGCAGCAGUGGGGAAUAUUGCACAAUGGGCGCAAGCCUGAUGCAGCGACGCCGCGUGAGGGAUGGAGGCCUGCGGGUUGUGAACCUCUUUCGCCAGUGAAGCAGGCCUGCCUCGUUUGUGGGUGGGUUGACGGUAGCUGGAGAAGAAGCGCCGGCUAACUACGUG